CCUACAUUUGGCAGCUACAGACAACCUGGUGACAACAGGACUGGAUAUCCUGCUAGGCCUAGGUCUGAGAGGUGGGUGCCAACUCUGCGUCCUUUGGUCACCAAUGGUAGUUAAAAAUAUCUGUAGAUUUAGGAUCGGCUGAUAAGCCAACUUAAAAACAACUAGGUGAGUACAUGGCAAUUAUUAAAUUAGGAAAGUGAAUGCAUGAGGACCAGCAGUUCAAGUCCUCUUUGGCUACUCAGUGGCCUUGAGGCCAGCCUGUACUACAGAAGACCCUGUCUCACCAAAACAAAAAGCAAAAGCAAAGAGCAGAAGAGCAAGGACUGCUUUGGUUUUGUACAUAUUCAAGGUUCUCAAUGUUAUAAAACGACAUUUGCUGUGAGAUACAGCUGAUGGACUCAAGCUUGUGUGACAUCAACAAUUGAGUUGACAGGGCUGUCAUCAGCCUUUUCCUUGUUCUUGAAGCAAAGCUACUGUUGCCUCCCAUCAGAAUUCUAACAUGAAGUAAUAAAAUGUCCAGUGACUGAUUUUGGAGUUCAUAUUUCAAGCUGAACAUCAGGGAAAAAAGAGCAGGUUGCCACCAGCUUCUCACCUCUUCAUCAGGCUGAAUGGACUGAUCCUGUCUCCAUGAGCUCUCACCAAGCCUCUGACUUGUUAGUGGGGCUGAAGAAUGAAUGCCUCAUAUUGACUACAUGUUCCUGUCUUUUAUACACCUCUAGGUCUGGGAUUAAAUGUGUGAGCUAUAAUUCCCUUUUAGAUUGAUUCAAUCUUGUGUAGAUCUGGGUGGCCUUGAAAUCUCUGAGAUCCUUCUACCUCUUAAUCCCGAGGCCCAUUAUUAAGAUUGUGUUCCAGCACCUCCUAGCUUCUGGCUGCUGGGAUUGAAGGUGUAUAUGACCACUGCGUGAUCUGUAUAGCUUGAUGCUGAUUUUGCUUUCUGAGUCCUCAGUCAAGCGUUAAUAAAUCCUAAACACAGAAGUCAUCUGUUUAACACAUUAAAUGGACCUCACAGGACCUACCCAGAACCAGCCAUGAAAUAUAAACCACAGAAACUGGACAGCCUUUACAACAGGUGGAAUCAUUUGAAGCAUAACAGGCUCCAGAUGUUGUCCUUCACUGGUCUAUGGACGAUGUAUAUCUGCUGCUGUGAUAAAACCUCAUGACCAAAAGCAAUUUUAGGGAGAUUUAGGACACUUUCACUUCCCAAAUAUAAGCUACCAGAAGUGGAGUGCUGCUAUUAGAGGU
rnacentral:lncRNA from 1 species